AUUGAACGCUGGCGGCAUGCUUUACACAUGCAAGUCGAACGGCAGCGCGGGCUUCGGCCUGGCGGCGAGUGGCGAACGGGUGCGUAAUGCAUCGGAACGUGCCCAGUAGUGGGGGAUAGCGCGGCGAAAGCCGGAUUAAUACCGCAUACGACCUGAGGGUGAAAGCGGGGGACCGAAAGGCCUCGCGCUAUUGGAGCGGCCGAUGUCGGAUUAGCUAGUUGGUGGGGUAAAGGCUUACCAAGGCGACGAUCCGUAGCUGGUCUGAGAGGACGACCAGCCACACUGGGACUGAGACACGGCCCAGACUCCUACGGGAGGCAGCAGUGGGGAAUUUUGGACAAUGGGGGCAACCCUGAUCCAGCCAUGCCGCGUGCGGGAAGAAGGCCUUCGGGUUGUAAACCGCUUUUGUUCGGGAGGAAGUGCUCUGGGCUAAUACCCCGGGGGGAUGACGGUACCGGAAGAAGAAGCACCGGCUAACUACGUG
rnacentral:rRNA from 1 species